GUUCAGUCCUGGUUCAGUCCUGGUUUAGUCCUGGUUCAGUUCUGGUUUAGUCCUGGUUAUGGCCCGCGCAGCACUGGUCCUGGUCUGGUCCAUCUGCAGCCUGGGGGUCCUCACAGAAGACAAGAGCUCAGAGCCGCUCAGGUUGGUGGGAGGAGCCAGUCGCUGUGCUGGAACUGUGGAGGUGAAACACAGAGGAGAGUGGAGACGAGUGGGGCCCUAUAGACGUUGGG